rfam:Vibrio sp. CECT 9027 strain CECT 9027T genome assembly, contig: 0025
GGUUAAGUGACUAAGCGUACACGGUGGAUGCCUUGGCAGUCAGAGGCGAUGAAGGACGUAUUAACUUGCGAUAAGCGUAGAUGAGGCAGUAAAAGCCACUUGAGUCUACGAUUUCCGAAUGGGGAAACCCAACUGCAUAAGCAGUUAUCGUUGCGUGAAUACAUAGCGUAACGAGGCGAACCGGGAGAACUGAAACAUCUAAGUACCCCGAGGAAAAGAAAUCAACCGAGAUUCUGGAAGUAGCGGCGAGCGAAACCGGAUUAGCCCUUAAGCUUUUUAUGCGUCAGGUGAAGUGUCUGGAAAGGCACGCGAUACAGGGUGAUAGCCCCGUAACCGGCAACGCAUUUUAAGUGAAAUCGAGUAAGGCGGGACACGUGAUAUCCUGUCUGAAUAUGGGGGGACCAUCCUCCAAGGCUAAAUACUCCUGACUGACCGAUAGUGAACCAGUACCGUGAGGGAAAGGCGAAAAGAACCCCUGUGAGGGGAGUGAAAUAGAACCUGAAACCGUGUACGUACAAGCAGUAGGAGCCUCUUUUAUAGGGUGACUGCGUACCUUUUGUAUAAUGGGUCAGCGACUUAUAUUCAGUGGCAAGGUUAACCGAUUAGGGGAGCCGUAGCGAAAGCGAGUCUUAACUGGGCGCACAGUCUCUGGAUAUAGACCCGAAACCGAGUGAUCUAGCCAUGGGCAGGUUGAAGAUUGAGUAACAUCAAUUGGAGGACCGAACCGACUAAUGUUGAAAAAUUAGCGGAUGACUUGUGGCUAGGGGUGAAAGGCCAAUCAAACUCGGAGAUAGCUGGUUCUCCCCGAAAGCUAUUUAGGUAGCGCCUCGGACGAAUACUACUGGGGGUAGAGCACUGUUAAGACUAGGGGGUCAUCCCGACUUACCAACUCUUUGCAAACUCCGAAUACCAGUAAGUACUAUCCGGGAGACACACGGCGGGUGCUAACGUCCGUCGUGGAGAGGGAAACAACCCAGACCGCCAGCUAAGGUCCCAAAUUAUUACUAAGUGGGAAACGAUGUGGGAAGGCUCAGACAGCUAGGAUGUUGGCUUAGAAGCAGCCAUCAUUUAAAGAAAGCGUAAUAGCUCACUAGUCGAGUCGGCCUGCGCGGAAGAUGUAACGGGGCUAAGUAAUAAACCGAAGCUGCGGCAAUGCUCUUUUAGAGUAUUGGGUAGGGGAGCGUUCUGUAAGCCGUUGAAGGUGGAUUGAGAAGUCUGCUGGAGGUAUCAGAAGUGCGAAUGCUGACAUGAGUAACGAUAAUGGGGGUGAAAAACCCCCACGCCGGAAGACCAAGGGUUCCUGUCCAACGUUAAUCGGGGCAGGGUAAGUCGACCCCUAAGGCGAGGCUGAAAAGCGUAGUCGAUGGGAAACGGGUUAAUAUUCCCGUACUUCUUACAAUUGCGAUGGGGGGACGGAGAAGGCUAGGUGGGCCUGGCGAUGGUUGUCCAGGUUCAAGUGCGUAGGCUGAGUAUUUAGGUAAAUCCGGAUAUUCAUUAGGCUGAGACACGACGUCGAGCACCCAAGGGUGUGAAGUCAUUGAUGCCAUGCUUCCAGGAAAAGCCUCUAAGCUUCAGAUUGUAAGAAAUCGUACCCCAAACCGACACAGGUGGUCGGGUAGAGAAUACCAAGGCGCUUGAGAGAACUCGGGUGAAGGAACUAGGCAAAAUGGUACCGUAACUUCGGGAGAAGGUACGCUCUAUAUAGGUGAAGAGACUCGCUCUUGGAGCCGAAAAGAGUCGCAGAUACCAGGUGGCUGCAACUGUUUAUUAAAAACACAGCACUGUGCAAAAUCGUAAGAUGACGUAUACGGUGUGACGCCUG